CAGUCUGAACGUGUUCGUCGUUCCGUACGCAUUAUCGUAUGUCGUUUCAAGUCCGCUCCGACUCGACUUUCAUGCGUCAAAUAGUCAUGUUCCUGUGUUUACCAAUAUAAAAUUACGAGAGAGAACGCGUUCUUCGUCGGUAUGUCCGAGUCUGUAAAAGUAGCAGUGAGAUGUCGACCUAUAUCCCAAAAAGAAUUGCAGCAAGGAUGUCAGAACGUGGUGACGAUCGAUCCGCUGACAAAAUUAUGUACAUUGGAAAAUGGUGCAAGUGGAAAAGUCUACCAAUUCGACGCUGCAUUCAGCCCGUCCGCUACAACAGAAUCGGUCUACGAAGAUGUAGGUUCUGUAAUUGUCGAGGCUGUCUUAGAGGGUUACAAUGGCACCGUGUUUGCUUAUGGUCAAACUGGUUGCGGGAAAUCAUUUACAAUGCGAGGAUUCAUCGAACGUGCAUUGGAACAUCUGUUCGAGGCGACUUCCACCGCCAGUUCCGAAACAAGGUAUUUGGCGUUGCUCAGUUACCUUGAGAUUUAUAACGAGCGAUUACGAGAUCUAUUACAAGACGACACUGGAGAAACUCUAACACUGAAAGAGGACCCCACAAAAGGUAUUUACGUCGCAGGUGGACUGCGCGAGGUCACUGUCAAAGAUGCGACCGAAUGCGCUGCAUUGGUUCAGCAGGGCGAUCAAAGGAGAGCCGCAGCUGCGACGAAGAUGAACGCCGCCAGUUCGAGAAGUCACGCUGUUUUAACUUUAUCACUCGAGGCGAUUGCCAUUAAUGACGACGAUAAACGUGGCAAUGCUAUCAGGAGAGGUCGAUUGCAUCUAGUCGAUCUAGCUGGAUCCGAGAGACAAGCUAGGACUGGAGCUACGGGAGAUCGUUUGAAAGAAGCUGCCAGCAUUAAUUUGAGCUUAUCAGCAUUGGGGAAUGUCAUAAGCGCGUUAGCUGCUGGAAAUGGAAGACACGUCCCUUACAGGGAUAGUAAACUGACGAGACUGCUGCGAGACAGUCUAGGUGGAAAUGCCAGAACUUUGAUGAUUGCCUGCGUGAGUCCGAGCGAUGUCGAUGCUGAAGAGACUCUCAGCACUCUGCGUUAUGCCGCUCGAGCUCGUUGCAUUAAGAAUAAGCCGAUUGUUAAUGAAGACCCCAAAGAUGCUCUUCUUAGACAAUAUCAAUUAGAACUUCAACGCCUAAAAAAGUUGCUUGAUGGCAACGAUCCGUUAAAUAGUGGAUCGGACUUCCAAAAGGAUGUGGAGGAAGAAAGAGAGAAACAAUAUUCCGAUGAGGUGGAGACGCUAAGGAAAGAGUGCGAGAGUUCAAAUCUAUCAGCUCAGAAACUAAAAGAAGAACUAGAAGCUCUGAAAUUCAGAUACAAAUCGGGAUUAAACAUGACGAAUAAUAUUGACCAAACUGGAAAACAAGAGUACGAGAAGAUGGAUGUAUGUCCAUUGGACAAGGAACGACUGGAAAAGAGAAGAAAGAAACGAGAAGCAGCUCUGCAAGACGUUUUAAAGAAGUUGGAGAAACUGACAAUCGGUGGAGAAGAGAUCGGGAAUGCGGAAUUAAAGAAAAGGAGGGAGAGGAGAAGGAAAAAAUUAGAAGUUCUUGUAGGGGCACUAGAAGCCAAUGAUGCCAAUGGUAGUGUCUUCCAAGUAUACGGUCAACUUAGAUCGACAGAAGAUGCACUGAAGAAGAUGGCAAAGCGAGUAAAACAAUUAGAAGCUGAGGCAGCGGACCUCCAGGCAUCCUGGGACGCCGAACGUCGCGAGCUUCUUCGCAGAGAAUUGUUAACGUCCCAAUUAUGUGACCUCAUGGUACCCUAUCUUCGUCCUGGCUGUCCUUUCCGCGAUAUUGCAGCAGUGAGAUCGGCGGCGACUUGGUGCGAUGAGUUAGGACGAUGGCGCUUGCCGGAUGUAUCCCCUCAUAUACCUCUACCUCCAGCCGCCUCCACAGCGCGGACAGAUAUUCUUCACCUCAGCGGUAUUUCCUCCAAGGCGGAUCACAAUAACAAUAGCAAUAAUAGUAGCAAUGACGAGAAUGACAGUGGUCAAGAUAACGAUAACGAAGAAGAUGAUAGACGAGAUAUGCAGAGGAAAAAGGGUUGGAAUGUCGUAAACACUUAUUUUCGGAGAAGAAGAGUCGAUACUCUUCUAGCACACGCAAGGGAAGCAAAGACUUUCGAGCCGGGAAAUCGACUGAGUAGAUCAGGAGGCUCCGAAGACUCGGGACCGAUCGCAGGUGGCAGCGGCUAUCUGCAGCUAAACGCGCUGAACUUACAAAGUAGCGCGCCGAUGUUCGGCGAAAGCAAUUACAGCCCGAAUCAGCGCAGAUCGGCAAUACGCGGUGGCUGGGUCUACGAUGAGCAACCUAACCGACCUAGCUAUAACUCUUUCAUCAAUAACACAAAGAAACCUCCUCCAAGAAUAUUGGAAGCCUUACCUUCGUACCCACAUGACGGUACCCCAUUCAAAUCACCGGUUCACCUCAAAGAAAUGGAAUUGGAGGAAAUGUCUGAGCGAGGACUGCCAUCGAGAUUGCUACGCAGCAACGAUAAUUUUACCCGACAUCACCCAUUCCACGUUGAACGUGCCUGUUCGCCAACUUAUUGACAAGCCAGCCAAUAACUUUCAAUAAAUAUGAUAUUUUGUAUUAAAGAAGAAGCUAAGAGAAAAUGUAUAUAAGGUGAAACCAGGCAGCGGCGCCCCUACAGAUUUGGCGCCCUGGGCGAUCGCCCAACCGCGCUCCACCCUAACGCCGGUUCGAAAAACAGGGGUCAAGCUGAGAGGAAUGUCAAGGCAACACUGAUGACGCUCGAUGGAACUACUGACACAUCAGAAACACUAACGGGUGACGGAUUAAACUCUAAUUCACGAAAUGCUAUGUCUUCAAUCUCUCACUAGAGAUGACUUUGUAAUUUGUUUAAGCUCAUGCUUAAAAAACAAAUAUCUGUAAAAUAAAUAUUUGAAAAAUGCA